ensembl:snRNA U6 U6 spliceosomal RNA
GUGCUCAAUUCCAAUCCACAAACACUAAAACGAAUGAGAUUAGCAUGGCCUCUUUGCAAGGAUGACAUGCAAACUGGUGAUGUCCAUAUUUUU